ensembl:lincRNA
CAGCAGCUUGCUGGAAUGAAGGAAGAAGCGGGUGGGCCAGGAGUCUGACUGCUGGGCUCACCUUUCCAUGGUAUCAAUAUCUGACACACUCCCAUGUCCCAGCGAAUCUGAAGAGGUGCGGAGGAAACAGCAAUGAGGUCAGAGCAGUGCCAGCCCCACUUCCCGGCCCCUUGUAGGAGACUUUCUGGAGCCCCUGCCCCACUCCUCUGGAUCACCGGCAGAGAGAGGGCAGAGCCAGCAGGCAAACGAGUGCACUCUGUCAACUACAAAUUGGCACUUGCCAUGCUGUCUUCCUCUACAAGGAUUAAAUUAUGUGUUGCUGUAGCUGCUGAAUUUCAACAACAGCCUGAAAGGAGGGGAAAUUCAAAUUCCAGAAAGGACAAAGCUCACAUUUAUCCAGACCAGCUAAUGAAGGAAUGCCGGACCAAAUGCUGAGAAUUCACACAGCUUAGGAAGUCAGCCUUGAACCCAGAAGAUCCACAAUUGAGCCCGGAAAGAGCUUUUUUACCCCAUCAAUCACUUCUUGGUUUUUACAAACCCCUUCAGCUAUGCAUGCCCACCAGUGAUUUUAUCCUUAAUAGACAUAUUCUUGGCACUCACUUCUCCCUUCUUAAACCAUCACCACCGAGACCCCUCUGCAUGUGGCUGGUCAUGUAUUUAGGUCUGCAGACCUUUGGGGCUUGGCUGAAUCUCACUAAGAAGCAAGGGUAAAAGCCUUGGUAACAUAAGCACCAGGAGACCCUUUGGGUGCUAACCAAUAACACAGCCCCAUGGUGUUCAGGGAAUCUGCGCCCAGGUUGGCAGAGCAACCUGCCUGCCUUGCUCUCCCCAGCUCCGGCCCUGGGGCUAUGCCUGUGGGGCGCCAGCCUCACCCUCUCACUCCCUUCUGGUCCCUGCUGGGCUGAUCCAUCACUUUCCACACCCUGUCGUUGCACACCAGCCUGCUUCCACGUCCAUGGGGAAGAAGCACACUUGGUUCCUGUCCCCUUUCUGACCGUGUGAGUGUGAGGAUGUGCUAAUCACCAAUUCUUGGUGGAUUUCAAUAUCUACAAAUCAUGGGAAGGGCCUCUCGGAUUGGCGGAAAGUGAGGAAGCACGUAGAAAAGGACAUGGCAGCACCUUCAUUUUCCUGCCGCUUCCCCCUUUCCCACGCUUGCCCCCUCCAGGUCAUCCCCAUUUCUCAUCACCAUCUUCAACAGCCUCAGGGAGAGAGGGAGUGACAUUUCCUAAGCACUGUGAUGGGGAUUUGAGGAAGAAACCCACACAUGCAUAGUUUGGCCCUUUCUGCCACGGAUCCUCGGCCUAGCAUCACCAUACACCGCCCGGACCCCUACUCAGCCAAGGGGAUUGGAGUCAGCAUGCCCAAGGACCAGAAUGUGGACUCCAACUAGUAACAUACCGAGUCCAGACUCUACUGCUUACCGUACAACAGGACGAUCAAUUGAGAUCCGAGUGGCUGGGGACGGAAUAGUGAACGGAAAGGAAUAGGAAAGCCCGCAGACUGAGACGCGGGUGGACGAAGGUUCCUAAGAACUACUUUGGGUCUGUACGCUGGUUUCUUCUAUAGAACAAAGAAAGGGGCAGGUGAGGAGGUGAAUAAAAAAGACCACGUGUUUGUGGCUCAGUUCCUGUGGACUAAAGCCUGCCAGGCUCCUCUAUCCACGGAAAUCUCCAGGCAAGAAACACUGGAGUGGGUUGCCAUCUCCUCCUCCAGGGGGAUCUUCCCCAACCUGGGAGCAAAUCUUCAUUCCCUGCAGCUCCUGUGUUGCAGGCAGAUUCUUUUACUGCCGAGUCACUGGGGAAGCCCCUAAAAAAGGCCAUGUGUGUUUGUUGCUCAGUCAUGUCUGACUCUUUGUGACGCCAUGGACUGUAAUCUGCUAGGCUCCCAGGCAAGACUACUGGAGUGGGUUGCCAUUUCCUUCUCUGAGAAAAAGGCCAUAAGUUGUUGCAAAUGUUUCCUGGUCUAGUUGUUGGUCUGGUCAGGAGGUUUCCUGACAGCUAAAAAAAAAUGGGUGUUUUAGCUUAAUGUUCAGACCAGUGAUGCAGGGUUCCAGGAGAUGGACUGUUGUGUAUACUUUAAGCUAUAGGCAACCUCCCUUUAGUGAUUAAUUUGUAGCGACCUAUAUGGGAAAAGAAUCUAAAAAAGAGUGGAUAUAUGUAUAUGUAUAACUGACUCACUUUGCUGAAAGUAACACAGCAUUGUAAAUCAACUAUACUCCACUAAAAAUUUUUAAACUAAUAAUAAUAAUAGGCCUACACAGAGCCAUUCUACCUUACUCUUGUAUUCUUAGGGGUCGGGUUUGCUGGAGCAGUACUUUCUGGAUAAAACAUUGC